rnacentral:rRNA from 1 species
UACAGAGGGGGCAAGCGUUGUUCGGAAUUACUGGGCGUAAAGGGCGCGUAGGCGGCCGCCUAAGUCAGACGUGAAAUCCCCCGGCUUAACCUGGGAACUGCGUCUGAUACUGGAAGGCUUGAGGAUGGGAGAGGGAUGUAGAAUUCCAGGUGUAGCGGUGAAAUGCGUAGAUAUCUGGAGGAAUACCGGUGGCGAAGGCGGCAUCCUGGACCAUUACUGACGCUGAGGCGCGAAAGCUAGGGGAGCAAACGGG